rnacentral:rRNA from 1 species
GGGUUGUGAGGUUAAGCGACUAAGCGUACACGGUGGAUGCCCUGGCAGUCAGAGGCGAUGAAGGACGUGCUAAUCUGCGAAAAGCGUCGGUAAGGUGAUAUGAACCGUUAUAGCCGGCGAUGUCCGAAUGGGGAAACCCAGUGCAAUUCGUUGCACUAUCGUUAACUGAAUACAUAGGUUAACGAGGCGAACCGGGGGAACUGAAACAUCUAAGUACCCCGAGGAAAAGAAAUCAACCGAGAUUCCCCCAGUAGCGGCGAGCGAACGGGGAGCAGCCCAGAGUCUGAAUCAGCUUGUGUGUUAGUGGAACGGUCUGGAAAGUCCGACGGUACAGGGUGAUAGUCCCGUACACCAAAAUGCACAGGUUGUGAACUCGAAGAGUAGGGCGGGACACGUGGUAUCCUGUCUGAAUAUGGGGGGACCAUCCUCCAAGGCUAAAUACUCCUGACUGACCGAUAGUGAACCAGUACCGUGAGGGAAAGGCGAAAAGAACCCCGGCGAGGGGAGUGAAAAAGAACCUGAAACCGUGUACGUACAAGCAGUGGGAGCACCUUCGGGUGUGACUGCGUACCUUUUGUAUAAUGGGUCAGCGACUUAUAUUCUGUAGCAAGGUUAACCGUAUAGGGGAGCCGCAGGGAAACCGAGUCUUAACUGGGCGUUAAGUUGCAGGGUAUAGACCCGAAACCCGGUGAUCUAGCCAUGGGCAGGUUGAAGGUUGGGUAACACUAACUGGAGGACCGAACCGACUAAUGUUGAAAAAUUAGCGGAUGACUUGUGGCUGGGGGUGAAAGGCCAAUCAAACCGGGAGAUAGCUGGUUCUCCCCGAAAGCUAUUUAGGUAGCGCCUCGUGAAUUCAUCUUCGGGGGUAGAGCACUGUUUCGGCUAGGGGGUCAUCCCGACUUACCAACCCGAUGCAAACUACGAAUACCGAAGAAUGUUAUCACGGGAGACACACGGCGGGUGCUAACGUCCGUCGUGAAGAGGGAAACAACCCAGACCGCCAGCUAAGGUCCCAAAGUCAUGGUUAAGUGGGAAACGAUGUGGGAAGGCACAGACAGCCAGGAUGUUGGCUUAGAAGCAGCCAUCAUUUAAAGAAAGCGUAAUAGCUCACUGGUCGAGUCGGCCUGCGCGGAAGAUGUAACGGGGCUAAACCAUGCACCGAAGCUGCGGCAGCGACACUAUGUGUUGUUGGGUAGGGGAGCGUUCUGUAAGCCUGCGAAGGUGACCUGUGAGGGUUGCUGGAGGUAUCAGAAGUGCGAAUGCUGACAUAAGUAACGAUAAAGCGGGUGAAAAGCCCGCUCGCCGGAAGACCAAGGGUUCCUGUCCAACGUUAAUCGGGGCAGGGUGAGUCGACCCCUAAGGCGAGGCCGAAAGGCGUAGUCGAUGGGAAACAGGUUAAUAUUCCUGUACUUGGUGUUACUGCGAAGGGGGGACGGAGAAGGCUAUGUUAGCCGGGCGACGGUUGUCCCGGUUUAAGCAUGUAGGCUGAUUGUCCAGGCAAAUCCGGAUAAUCAAGGCUGAGGUGUGAUGACGAGGCACUACGGUGCUGAAGUAACAAAUGCCCUGCUUCCAGGAAAAGCCUCUAAGCAUCAGGUAACAUCAAAUCGUACCCCAAACCGACACAGGUGGUCAGGUAGAGAAUACCAAGGCGCUUGAGAGAACUCGGGUGAAGGAACUAGGCAAAAUGGUGCCGUAACUUCGGGAGAAGGCACGCUGGUGUGUAGGUGAAGUCCCUGCGGAUGGAGCUGAGACCAGUCGAAGAUACCAGCUGGCUGCAACUGUUUAUUAAAAACACAGCACUGUGCAAACACGAAAGUGGACGUAUACGGUGUGACGCCUGCCCGGUGCCGGAAGGUUAAUUGAUGGGGUUAUCCGUAAGGAGAAGCUCUUGAUCGAAGCCCCGGUAAACGGCGGCCGUAACUAUAACGGUCCUAAGGUAGCGAAAUUCCUUGUCGGGUAAGUUCCGACCUGCACGAAUGGCGUAAUGAUGGCCAGGCUGUCUCCACCCGAGACUCAGUGAAAUUGAACUCGCUGUGAAGAUGCAGUGUACCCGCGGCAAGACGGAAAGACCCCGUGAACCUUUACUAUAGCUUGACACUGAACAUUGAGCCUUGAUGUGUAGGAUAGGUGGGAGGCUUUGAAGCGUGGACGCCAGUCUGCGUGGAGCCAACCUUGAAAUACCACCCUUUAAUGUUUGAUGUUCUAACGUUGGCCCCUGACCGGGGUUGCGGACAGUGUCUGGUGGGUAGUUUGACUGGGGCGGUCUCCUCCCAAAGCGUAACGGAGGAGCACGAAGGUUAGCUAAUCCUGGUCGGACAUCAGGAGGUUAGUGCAAUGGCAUAAGCUAGCUUGACUGCGAGCGUGACGGCGCGAGCAGGUGCGAAAGCAGGUCAUAGUGAUCCGGUGGUUCUGAAUGGAAGGGCCAUCGCUCAACGGAUAAAAGGUACUCCGGGGAUAACAGGCUGAUACCGCCCAAGAGUUCAUAUCGACGGCGGUGUUUGGCACCUCGAUGUCGGCUCAUCACAUCCUGGGGCUGAAGUAGGUCCCAAGGGUAUGGCUGUUCGCCAUUUAAAGUGGUACGCGAGCUGGGUUUAGAACGUCGUGAGACAGUUCGGUCCCUAUCUGCCGUGGGCGCUGGAGAAUUGAGGGGGGCUGCUCCUAGUACGAGAGGACCGGAGUGGACGCAUCACUGGUGUUCGGGUUGUCAUGCCAAUGGCACUGCCCGGUAGCUAAAUGCGGAAGAGAUAAGUGCUGAAAGCAUCUAAGCACGAAACUUGCCCCGAGAUGAGUUCUCCCUGAGACUUUAAGUCUCCUGAAGGAACGUUAAAGACGAUGACGUUGAUAGGCCGGGUGUGUAAGCGCAGCGAUGCGUUGAGCUAACCGGUACUAAUGAACCGUGAGGCUUAACCUUACAACGCCGAAG